rnacentral:RNase_P_RNA from 1 species
CGGGUCGGCCAGGCGGCCGCUCCGAUUAUCGAUCGGGGAGGAAAGUCCGCACUUCAUAGAGCACGGUAGCGGGUAACACCCGUCGCCCGAAGCAGUUUGCGCUGACAAGGGUCGGAAUAGGAGCACAGUGACGAUGCCUGUGUGGCUACACGGUCAGGCAGGAGUGAAACGGCCAACCUCUACCGGAAGCAAGGUCAAGUCGGAACGCUAUGAGGCUGCUCGCCCAGUUCCAGGUGGGCUGCAUGAGGCCGGUGGCAACACUGGCCCCAGAUAGAUGGUCGCCCCUGACAGAAUGCGGCUUAUCGGUCGGUCCGGUGC